rnacentral:rRNA from 1 species
UGCGGAAGGAUCAUUAUCGUACAACCGAGGUGUGAAGGCUGUCGCUGACUUUCAAAGGUCGUGCACGCCCGAGCAGUCUCACACAAUCCAUCUCACCCCUUUGUGCAUCACCGCGUGGGUCCCUCCCUUUGCAGGGAGGGGGUUCGCGUUUUAACAUAAAACUUGAUACUACAGUCCAGAAUGUUUAUUUUUGCGGUCACACGCAAUCAAUACAACUUUCAACAACGGAUCUCUUGGCUCUCGCAUCGAUGAAGAACGCAGCGAAAUGCGAUACGUAAUGUGAAUUGCAGAAUUCAGUGAAUCAUCGAAUCUUUGAACGCACCUUGCGCCCCUUGGCAUUCCGAGGGGCACACCCGUUUGAGUGUCGUGAAAUCCUCAAAACCCCCUUUUCUUUCAUCGGAAUCGGGAUUUUGGACUUGGAGGCUUCAAUGCUCGCUUUUGCUUUUGAAAGCGAGCUCCUCUUAAAUGAAUUAGUGGGGUCCGCUUUGCCGAUCCUUGACGUGAUAAGAUGUUUCUACGUUUUGGAUUUGGCACUGUUUUCUCCGCUCCUAACUGUCCCAUGGACAAUGAUGGUGCUCUGGUCCUCGUCAUCUAACGUUGGCGGGAGGCUGGACCCACAAAAAGAACCUUGACCUCAAAUCGGGUGAGACUACCCGCUGAACUUAAGCAUAUCAAUAAGCGGAGGAAAAGAAACUAACAAGGAUUCCCCUAGUAACUGCGAGUGAAGCGGGAAAAGCUCAAAUUUAAAAUCUGGUGGUCUUUGGCCAUCC